GACGAACGCUGGCGGCGUGCCUAAUACAUGCAAGUCGAACGCAGUGGGGACGGGUGAGUAACACGUGGGUAACCUCAACUCAGAGGGGAUACCACUUGGAAACAGGUGCUAAACCGAUACUGAUGGAUGGACCCGCGGUGGAUUAGCUAGUUGGUGAGGUAACGGCUAACCAAGGCGACGAUGCAUAGCCGGUCUGAGAGGAUGAUCAGCCACACGGGAACUGAGACACGGCCCAGACUCCUACGGGAGGCAGCAGUAGGGAAUCUUCGGCAAUGGACGAAAGUCUGACCGAGCAAUGCCGCGUGUGUGAAGAAGGUUUUCGGAUCGUAAAGCUCUUUUGUUAGGGAAGCGGUAUCUACACAGAAAGCCACGGCUAACUACGUGCCAGCAGCCGCGGUAAUUC
rnacentral:rRNA from 1 species